rnacentral:lncRNA from 1 species
CGCUUAACUCUCUUAAUCUCUUGACCCUAACCAUCACCCAAAAUAUUUAAGUCAGGUUAAGACUUUUUAGCUCUAUUAUAUCUUAUAUAUAGGAUUAUUUGGGGUCUCACAAUUUUUCCUCUUUUAAGCGCUGACGUCCUUAUCAGGCUUAGACUCACAAGUAUCUAGCAAUGUGGGACUCGUCUUGCUAGCCUUGUCAUUUCAACCCUGACUCAGUCGAGACUUUUCUCACACUUUCGGCUGGUAAUUGGCUCUAAUACCAACUGUGAUACCCCAACUUCCCAGGCGGUCACCCUUUCUAGGACCGCUUUCAUUCUAUCACAUUUAACUCUCUUAACCGCUUGAGCUUAACCACCACAAAAAAUGCUUAAGUCGGGUUAAGAAUUUUUAGCCCUAUUAUAUUUUAUUAUAUAUAUGACUAUCUGGGGUAUCACAGUGUCCCUCGUUCUUUCCGUUCUCAAAAUACUAGUGAAAGUCCUGCGCCAUUUUAUAUUUUUACCCAUCUCAUAUUAUACCUUAUUCUCUCAAUUAAAAUUCUAGCAAUGAAAACUUUUUUUCCUUACUCUCUCUCUUUCUCUGUCUCCUUCGUACUAGUUUCGAACAUGUAACUAGAAAUUUUUCGUCCCCAUUCAUCCAUUACGCGUGUUGCUUCGCCAAUAUCGAAUACGUGUUGCUUUUUCAUUCAAUUUAUUAUAUGAUUUUUUUUUAUUUUGAUUAAAAGAAAAGGUUUAGGAGAAAAGGAGUGAGAGAAAAUGUUGCAAUAAUGUUCGAUUAGGUUGAUUUGAAAAAGGAAGAAGAUGACCAUUGAAAAUUUUUUAGGGGACAUUUCUGCAUGAUUAUAACAGUUGGAAUUUUUGGAGGAACAUGUCACAUACUUGCGACGGCAAAAUUGACAUUUUACUUAUCUGCUGCUAAAAAAUAAAUAAUUUUUUAACAGUAACAAACUAAAGGAACAAAUAUAAAUAUCACCGGACUUUUGUAGGAAUAACAUAAGAAAGUUAAAUUUUGUAGAGAUAUAUUUGUAAUUCGCUAUAUUUAUAGGAAGCUGUAUGCAAUUAACGCUUAAAAAAAAGAUUAUGGGACUUGAUUGAAACAAUUCAAAAAAUUUCGAGGACUAAAGUGUCAUAUGUCUUACAGUUCGACCAAAAAAUUAUAACUAAUUAAAGUUUCAGAAUUAAAGUGUUGUUCGAGCCAGAAAUUGAAACAAAUUAAAAUUUGAGGACCCAAUGAAAUGCAGGAACCAACUUC